rnacentral:rRNA from 1 species
CCUACGGGUGGCAGCAGUGGGGAAUAUUGCACAAUGGGCGCAAGCCUGAUGCAGCGACGCCGCGUGAGCGAUGAAGGCCUUCGGGUCGUAAAGCUCUGUCCUAAGGGAAGAAGCAUGACGGUACCUUAGGAGGAAGCCCCGGCUAACUACGUGCCAGCAGCCGCGGUAAUACGUAGGGGGCGAGCGUUAUCCGGAAUACCUGGGCGGAAAGGGUGCGUAGGCGGCCGAUUAAGCAAGGGGUGAAAGGCUACGACGCAACCGUAGUACGCCCUUGGAACUGAUUGGCUUGAGUGAAGGAGAGGAGAGUGGAAUUCCUAGAGUAGCAGUGAAAUGCGUAGAAAAUAGGAGGAACACCAGUGGCGAAGGCGACGCUCUUGACUGUAACUGACGCUGAGGCACGAAAGCGUGGGGAGCAAACAGGAUUAGAUACCCCUGUAGUC